rnacentral:rRNA from 1 species
CCUACGGGAGGCAGCAGUGGGGAAUUUUGGACAAUGGACGCAAGUCUGAUCCAGCCAUGCCGCGUGCGGGAAGAAGGCCUUCGGGUUGUAAACCGCUUUUGUCAGGGAAGAAAAGUUUGGGGCUAAUAACUCCGGACGAUGACGGUACCUGAAGAAUAAGCACCGGCUAACUACGUGCCAGCAGCCGCGGUAAUACGUAGGGUGCAAGCGUUAAUCGGAAUUACUGGGCGUAAAGCGUGCGCAGGCGGUUCUAUAAGACAGAUGUGAAAUCCCCGGGCUCAACCUGGGAACUGCAUUUGUGACUGUAGAGCUGGAGUACGGCAGAGGGGGAUGGAAUUCCGCGUGUAGCAGUGAAAUGCGUAGAUAUGCGGAGGAACACCGAUGGCGAAGGCAAUCCCCUGGGCCUGUACUGACGCUCAUGCACGAAAGCGUGGGGAGCAAACAGGAUUAGAUACCCUGGUAGUCCACGCCCUAAACGAUGUCAACUGGUUNUUGGGAAGGUUCCUUCUCAGUAACGUAGCUAACGCGUGAAGUUGACCGCCGNGGGAGGUACGGCCGGCGACGGUUAGUAACGUACGAAGUAGUAAGUUAGACGGCGUGAGACGUGCCGACGGACGACGACGAGGGAGGAGG